CCCAGAACCAAGAGAAACAACUCUAAGUCACAGAAUUUCUGACCGAAAAGAUGCCCCACCCGCCGACCAGCGAACCAAGUUACCCUAGGGAUAACAGCGCAAUCCCCUUUCAGAGUCCAUAUCGACAAGGGGGUUUACGACCUCGAUGUUGGAUCAGGACAUCCUAAUGGUGCAGCCGCUAUUAAGGGUUCGUUUGUUCAACGAUUAAAGU
rnacentral:rRNA from 1 species